rnacentral:rRNA from 1 species
AUUAAACGCUGGCGGCAUGCCUUACACAUGCAAGUCGAACGGCAGCACGGGGGCAACCUUGGUGGCGAGUGGCGAACGGGUGAGUAAAGCAUCGGAACUUGCCCUGGAGUGGGGGAUAACGUAGCGAAAGUUACGCUAAUACCGCAUAUUCUGUGAGCAGGAAAGCAGGGGAUCGCAAGACCUUGCGCUCUGGGAGCGGCCGAUGUCGGAUUAGCUAGUUGGUGGGGUAAAGGCCUACCAAGGCGACGAUCCGUAGCGGGUCUGAGAGGAUGAUCCGCCACACUGGGACUGAGACACGGCCCAGACUCCUACGGGAGGCAGCAGUGGGGAAUUUUGGACAAUGGGCGAAAGCCUGAUCCAGCCAUGCCGCGUGAGUGAAGAAGGCC